UAUUCAUCAUUUUCAAAAUCAUCAUUCAAUCGGUCAAUCGGAACAACAAGUCGCCUUUCCAUAAUCCACAAGCUACCAAAUCUAAAAAUUGUAGCCAAAGGCCAUAAGGAACUCUAAAAUUCAACAUGGAUGUCGUGAAAAUAAUGGGACCAAUACUAUUGUAUAUUAAUUCUGCAUUGCAGUUGAUUCUUAUCAAAAAAAUAUAUGAAUGGUAGCAGGACUAUAGAUAUUUAAGCUAUUAUAUAGUUAGUGUUAGUAAAAUAUAAAAUGUCUUUAGGAUUUGACCAUCGAAUAUAUUAAAUAUUGUAUAUUGCUUAC